UACGUAGGGUGCGAGCGUUAAUCGGAAUUACUGGGCGUAAAGGGUGCGCAGGCGGUUUUGUAAGCCAGAUGUGAAAUCCCCGGGCUCAACCUGGGAAUGGCAUUUGGGACUGCAAGGCUAGAGUGUGGCAGAGGAGACUGGAAUUCCUGGUGUAGCAGUGAAAUGCGUAGAUAUCAGGAGGAAUACCGAUGGCGAAGGCAGGUCUCUGGGUUAACACUGACGCUCAUGCACGAAAGCGUGGGGAGCAAACAGG
rnacentral:rRNA from 1 species